rnacentral:rRNA from 1 species
UGGGGAAUAUUGGACAAUGGGCGCAAGCCUGAUCCAGCCAUGCCGCGUGAGUGAUGAAGGCCUUAGGGUUGUAAAGCUCUUUCGCCGGUGAAGAUAAUGACGGUAACCGGAGAAGAAGCCCCGGCUAACUUCGUGCCAGCAGCCGCGGUAAUACGAAGGGGGCUAGCGUUGCUCGGAAUCACUGGGCGUAAAGCGCACGUAGGCGGAUCGUUAAGUCAGGGGUGAAAUCCUGGAGCUCAACUCCAGGAACUGCCCUUGAUACUGGCGAUCUCGAGUUCGAGAGAGGUUGGUGGAACUCCGAGUGUAGAGGUGAAAUUCGUAGAUAUUCGGAAGAACACCAGUGGCGAAGGCGGCCAACUGGCUCGAUACUGACGCUGAGGUGCGAAAGCGUGGGGAGCAAAACAGGAUUAGACACCUGGUAGUCCACGCCGUAAACGAUGGAUGCUAGCCGUUGGGGGGUUUACCUCUCAGUGGCGCAGCUAACGCCUUAAGCAUCCCGCCUGGGGAGUACGGUCGCAAGAUUAAAACUUAAAUGAAUUGACGGGGUCAUAGCUG